CAGUAGCCGCGGGAAUACAGAGGGUGCGAGCGUUAAUCGGAUUUACUGGGCGUAAAGCGUGCGUAGGCGGCUUCUUAAGUCGGAUGUGAAAUCCCUGAGCUUAACUUAGGAAUUGCAUUCGAUACUGGUUAGCUAGAGUGUGGGAGAGGAUGGUAGAAUUCCAGGUGUAGCGGUGAAAUGCGUAGAGAUCUGGAGGAAUACCGAUGGCGAAGGCAGCCAUCUGGCCUAACACUGACGCUGAGGUACGAAAGCAUGGGGAGCAAACAGGAUUAGACACCCCGGUAGUCCCUGUCUCUUAUAA
rnacentral:rRNA from 1 species